CCCCACUCCACUCUCCACUGCGGUCCCCACGCCACGCCACUGCUCCCCGACGCGACGCUGACGCUUGUCUGUGCUUGUCUGUCUGGCACGCAGUCGCAAGUCGCAGCAUCCCUCCUCGACACGCCCAUCGUCCUGAGUAUCACAACCGUCAGCAUGACCCAAAGGAAGGAAGAUCCAGCCGUGACCAACUUCAGAGAGUAUCUCAGGAUCCCGUCCGUCCAUCCCGACGUCAACUACGAUGAUUGUGUUACCUUCCUGAAGAAGCAAUCCGAUUCCCUAGGGCUACCCUAUAAGAUAUACUAUGCAGUUCCAAAGAAGCCCAUUUUUGUCAUUACAUGGGCGGGCAAAGAUCCAAGCCUUCCUGCUGUUCUCCUGAACUCUCAUAUGGAUGUGGUGCCAGUAUUUCCGGAAAGCUGGACCCACCCUCCAUUUGCUGCUGAAAAAGAUGAGAAUGGUAACAUAUUUGCCCGGGGUUCUCAAGACAUGAAAUGUGUUGGCAUACAGUACAUUGAGGCUGUGCGUAGACUGAAGCUGAAAAAUGUGCAACUGCUCCGGACUUUGCACCUGGUGUUUAAUCCUGAUGAAGAGAUCGGUGGUGUUGAUGGAAUGUCAAAGUUUGUUCACAUGAAAGAAUUUCGAGAUCUUAAUGUGGGCUUUGCCUUAGAUGAAGGCAUGGCGAGCAAAGCAGAUCACUUCAUCCUUUUUCCAGGCGAACGCUCUAUUUGGCAAAUCCAUGUUCACUGCCCAGGCAACCCUGGCCAUGGAUCACUCCUUUUAUCUAACACAGCAGGGGAAAAGUUGCGAGUUGUUAUUGACAAAUUCAUGGAUUUCCGUCAAAACCAAAAGGCCCGCCUUGAAAAUGAUCCUAAUUUAACCAUUGGAGAUGUGACUACUGUGAACCUCACUGUUAUUAAGGGUGGAGUGCAGACCAAUGUUAUACCACAAGAAAUGGUUGCCUGCUUUGAUGUUCGUUUGGCCUGUGAUGUAGACCAUGAUGAAUUUGAAAAAAUGGUGAACGGAUGGUGCAAGGAAGCAGGCUCUGACAUUAAGAUAGAAUUUGAGCAAAAAAAUCCCAAAAUAGAGGUUACUAAACUGGACGAGACAAAUCCUUGGUGGAUUGCUUUUAAAAAGGAGUGUGAUAAUAUAGGAAUGAACUUGAAGACCACAAUAUUUCCUGGAGGUACAGAUAGCGGGUUCUUGCGUGAGGGGCCUGAAAUUGAAAAGGGAGAUCUUCCCUGGUGGCACGGAUGGCAGAUACAUUCGUUAUGUCGGCAUUCCUGCAUUUGGAUUUUCCCCCAUGAAUAACACGCCUGUGCUCCUCCACGAUCAUGAUGAGUAUUUGAAUGAGUCUGUGUUUCUUCGGGGAAUUGACAUCUAUUAUAACCUUCUUUCUGCUGUUGGCAACGUUGCACCUUAGAGGUUGAGUGUCAAAUGAAGUGAGCUGGUGCUCCUCUCAAGAUGGGAGCCUUGUGCCCAUGCACACACUGUUAUUGUUGUUUAUCAUUGUUGAACUAAUUACCUUGAGUACAAUUAUUUUGACCUACAAUUCGAUUGUGAUUUUUAAACACAGGGUGCUAGGUUUCUUAUGCUACAGACUUCAAAUUAUUUUAUCUGUAAAAAUUAUUUUAUGUAUGUUAACUGGUUGAUGUAUAUUUUGACUGUGGAAAAUGUUUGAUGUGUUAUGGGAGUUAAAUAUGUAACAGACCACAUUGUUUUGUGGUUUGACUUUCUGUCUGUCUGUCUAUCAGUCAUCAUGCAGUGCCAUAGUCUUGUGCCAAAAAGCGUCAGGGCAAUGUUAAAGACAAUAGUCCCUGAUUGUAUGUUUCUCUCUAGUACCAUUUCUGUGUCCAACCUUUUUCUAUAAAGUAAGCAUAUUGAUGAUGGUCAGUGGGUUGUUAACUUUGAGUAAACCUGUGGUUUGGAUACUGUGGGAUCCAUCUUGCAAUUCAAACAAAUACGCUGCAUGUAACUUUGUUAAAUUCAGAGUGCCACUUCAGGCUUGUUAUUGUUACCUGAAUAAUGAUAUAUUAUGGAAGUUACCUAUAUGAUUAAAAGAGAGUAUAUGUUCUCCUUGA